CCAAAUUUUUGCCCACAAAUUCAUCUCAUUUACUCUCUAUAUAACACAUCAUUGCUCACUUUUACAACCAACACAAAAUUUUGAACAAAAAAAAAAUACAACCAACACAAACAAAUAUUUCAAAUUCCUAUCAAUUCUAUUUCCAUUCAUCUUCUCUCCACCAAAGAAUUCAAAAGACAAUCAAAGAUUCUACCUAUCACCUCUUGUUUCCAUAUUCUUUUGUUGAAAGAUUUUACCGAAGAUUUUGUCGAAGUAAUGGAGCAUACUGAUAUUAGCGACACAAAUUCUGAGAGUGAUGAAGGUGACAUGGAAACUACGGCUAUAGCUGAUGGAGAUCAAAUGGCAAACACUAGAGAAAAUAUUGCAGAUAUGUUAUGGGAAAAUCAAAAUAAUUUCCAUUAAACUAUUCUAAGUUUUAUUUUUGUUGCAUUUGGAUAAUUUGUGUUUAAUGUUU